UACGAAGGGUGCAAGCGUUACUCGGAAUUACUGGGCGUAAAGCGUGCGUAGGUGGUGAGUUAAGUCUGUCGUGAAAGCCCCGGGCUCAACCUGGGAAUUGCGUUGGAGACUGCAAGGCUGGAGUCUGGCAGAGGGGGGGUAGAAUUCCACGUGUAGCAGUGAAAUGCGUAGAGAUGUGGAGGAACACCGAUGGCGAAGGCAGCCCCCUGGGUCAAGACUGACGCUCAUGCACGAAAGCGUGGGGAGCAAACAGG
rnacentral:rRNA from 1 species